rnacentral:rRNA from 1 species
GAACGAACACUUCGGUGUUAGUGGCGCACGGGUGCGUAACGCGUGGGAAUCUACCCUUGGGUUCGGAAUAACAGUUAGAAAUGACUGCUAAUACCGGAUGAUGACGUAAGUCCAAAGAUUUAUCGCCCAAGGAUGAGCCCGCGUAAGAUUAGCUAGUUGGUAAGGUAAAGGCUUACCAAGGCUACGAUCUUUAGCUGGUCUGAGAGGAUGAUCAGCCACACUGGGACUGAGACACGGCCCAGACUCCUACGGGAGGCAGCAGUAGGGAAUAUUGGACAAUGGGGGCAACCCUGAUCCAGCAAUGCCGCGUGAGUGAUGAAGGCCUUAGGGUUGUAAAGCUCUUUUACCCGAGAUGAUAAUGACAGUAUCGGGAGAAUAAGCUCCGGCUAACUCCGUGCCAGCAGCCGCGGUAAUACGGAGGGAGCUAGCGUUGUUCGGAAUUACUGGGCGUAAAGCGCGCGUAGGCGGCUGUUUAAGUCAGAGGUGAAAGCCUGGAGCUCAACUCCAGAACUGCCUUUGAGACUGGACAGCUAGAAUCCUGGAGAGGUGAGUGGAAUUCCGAGUGUAGAGGUGAAAUUCGUAGAUAUUCGGAAGAACACCAGUGGCGAAGGCGGCUCACUGGACAGG